rnacentral:ncRNA from 1 species
GAUGGAACAAUGUAGGUAGGGGCAGUAGGAAAAAUAGAUCCGUAACUUUGGGAAAAGGAUUGGCUCUAAGGGCUAGGCACGGGGGUCCUAGUAUCAAACCCAUCGACUGUCGGUGGACGACUCUAGCUACUCCCGUGGUAAGAGCAAGUCACAGCGGGACAACUGGGGGACGGUGUGGGAACAAUUCCUUCGGGGGCCUUCCCCACGUGUUGAAUAGCCAACUCAAAACAGGUACGGACAAGGGAAAUCCGAUUGUUUAAUUAAAACAAAGCAUUGCCGAUGGUCCCAACAGAUGUUCACGCAAUGUGAUUUCUACCUAAUGUUCUGAAAGUAAAAGUAAGGAAAUUCAACUAAGCGCGGGCAAACGGUGGGAGUAACUAUGACUCAUUUAAGGUAGCCAAAUACCUCAUCAUCUAAUUAGUUACGCGUAUGAAUGACUAAGAAUAUUUCCACUUUCCCUGUCUACUGUCCAGCGGAACCUCAAUCAAGGGAACGGGCUUGGCAGAAUCAGCGGGAAAAGAUGACUUUAUUGAGCUUGGCUCAAGUCCGACUUUGUAAAAUGACUUAAGAGAUGUAGUAUAAGUGGGAGCCAAAAGCUGAAAGUGAAAUACCACUAGUUUUAAUGUUAUUUUACUUAUUUCGUGAAUUGGAAAUAGGGCACUGCCCCUUUUUUUGGACCCAAGGCUCGCUCUGUGGGCCGAUCCGAGUGGAAGACAUUAUUAGUUGGGGAGUUUGGCUAGGGUGGCACAUCUUUUAAAAGAUAACGCAAAUGUCCUAAGAUGAGCUUAAUGAGAAUAGAAAUCUUCUAUGGAAUAGGAUGGUAAAAGCUUGUUUGAUUCUGAUUUUCAGUAUGAAUACGAACCGUGAAAGCGUGGCCUAAUAAUCCUUUAGACCUUUGGAAUUUAAAGCUAGAGGUGUUAGAUAAUUUACCACGGUGAUAACUAUCUUGUGGCAGCCAAGAAUUCAUAGCGACGUUGUUUUUUUAUCCUUCGAUGUAGGAUUUUUCUAUCAUUGUGAAGCAGAAUUCACCAAGUGUUGGAUUGUUUUCCCAUUAAUAGGGAACAUGAGAUGGGUUUAGACCACCGUGAGAUAGGUUAGUUUUACCCUACUGAUGACAGUGUUGCAAUAAUAAUUCAACCGAGUAUGAGAGAAACUGUUGAUUCACAUAAUUGGUCAUCGCGCUUAGUUGAAAAGCCAGUGGCACAAAGCUACCAUGAGCUGGAUUAUGACUGAACGCCUCUAAGUCAAAAUCCAGGCUAGAAGCGAUGCAUUCUCCCAUCGUCCGCUUGCCGACCCGGAGUAGGAGCUUUAAGCCCCAAGGGCACGCCUCCUUGAAGUAUAAUUUCCAUCGAACGGUGGGUAGAAUCUUUUGCAGAUGUCUUAAAUACAUGAUGGGGUAUUGUAAGUGGCAGAGUGGCCUUGCUACCAUGAUCCACUGAGAUGCAUCCCUUUGUCACUCUGGUUA